rnacentral:lncRNA from 1 species
GCCAAGGAUAUAUAAUAAAGAUACACGAACAUGGGCUAACAUGGACCAGGGGCUACUUUCAUCACAUUGCAAGAAAUCCCAUUCGCAGGUGAGCCAUGCAAUCCUUCUGGAUUACACAUAAGGUCCUCCUUUGGUUGCAACUAUUUUAGUACCUGUCAUCAUCUGUGUGGCAUUCUCUGCUUUUGUUUCCAUUUUUUGUUGUAGAAAAAACAGUGGUUAGAUAGUCCAAACAGGAAGCAAGCAUGAAGCAUUACACCAGCAAAAAUAUCCGCUUGUGGUUCCUGCACAAAGCAGAUGACAUCCUGGAGUAGAAAGCUACCCACUUCCUUUCUGUAGAUCGUUUUCACUGACACCAUAAGUUAUCCAAUCUUUUAAGAAAUAAGGAAAAGUCAUCUCCAAGAUAUAUAUUUCAACAAGUCUAUGUUGUAAUAUCAUUUAAAACUGAGGCACUACAAUUUAUCAAAUUUAUCUCUUUUCAAGACCUGC